rnacentral:rRNA from 1 species
CAGUAGCCGCGGUAAUACGAAGGGGGCUAGCGUUGCUCGGAAUCACUGGGCGUAAGGGUGCGUAGGCGGGUCUUUAAGUCAGGGGUGAAAUCCUGGAGCUCAACUCCAGAACUGCCUUUGAUACUGAAGAUCUUGAGUUCGGGAGAGGUGAGUGGAACUGCGAGUGUAGAGGUGAAAUUCGUAGAUAUUCGCAAGAACACCAGUGGCGAAGGCGGCUCACUGGCCCGAUACUGACGCUGAGGCACGAAAGCGUGGGGAGCAAACAGGAUUAGAUACCCCAGUAGUCCCUGUCUCUUAUACA